UGACUCUGGUUUCUCUUCAGAUCAUAUAAAUCUUUUGCCUUUUACUAAAGAUUUCUGUGAAGAGGUUGCCCUGCUAACUGAGCAAAGAGUCACCUUUUAAAGUGGUGGUUCUCUUAUAU